UGGCCUUUCAUCAAGCAAGAAAAUACACACACACAAUUAGCUCUUCUUCUCACAAUUAGCUACUCCAAAUUCUGUUAAAAUGGCUCACAAGCUCGCUUUCUUUUUUUGUGUUCUCCUUGUGGCACUGACUGUUCAUUCAAACACUCGGGCGAUGGCGGUGCGAGACUUACCUUUAGAAGAAGAGGUGAUUGAGCAAAUUCUAGUACCAGAUCUUACUAAUAAAAAAGGAUGUUACAACCUCUGCAAAUCUGAUGCAAAUUGCAAUAACAGAGGUUCAGAGUGUAGGCAAUGUCGAACGGCACAUAAUCAUUAUGAUAUUACAAUGAGAUGCUAUCCCAGGAUUUGAAUCUCAUAUGAUAACCGAUUUUUUACAAAAAUAGCCGGUCGAAUUCAUAAAUGUGUUUUUUUGUGGUCCUUUUUUACUUUUACUUGCUCCGUUUGAGCUUUGUGUCAUUUGUAAGGUAAAGAAUACAGUGACUAUCCAUUGUUCCAAAUAAAUAUGUGAUGGAUAUAAUAAAAGGAUAUUUACAUAAAUAACCGGCUAAAUUUGUAAAUGUAUUUUCUAUUGUCUUUUUGAGCAUUUUGUAAAAGGUAAAGAAUACAAGUGACUAUCUAUUGUUCCUAAUAAAUAUGUGAUGGAUAUCAAUUCCUAAGCCUGCAAAUAGUCAAAGGUGUUACUAUUGCGAAAAAUAUGUGUUUUGGUAUGA